UGGGUAGGUAGUGAAGUGGUCAAACACGGAUGACUGUAAAUCAUCUCCUAACGGUUCGGGGGUUCAAAUCCCUCUCUACCCAUC
rnacentral:tRNA from 1 species